GCCAGUGUGGCAAAGUGGUUUAAGUGUCAAACUAUGACUCUGGAGACCAGGGUUCGAAUCUUGGCUUGGCCA